UACGUAGGGUGCAAGCGUUGUCCGGAAUUAUUGGGCGUAAAGAGCUCGUAGGCGGUGUGUCGCGUCGGCCGUGAAAACCUGUGGCUUAACUGUGGGCUUGCGGUCGAUACGGGCAUCACUGGAGUUCGGCAGGGGAGACUGGAAUUCCUGGUGUAGCGGUGAAAUGCGCAGAUAUCAGGAAGAACACCCGUGGCGAAGGCGGCUCUCUGGGACAGUUCUGACGCUGAGGUGCGAAAGCGUGGGGAGCGAACAGG
rnacentral:rRNA from 1 species